CCCUUAGAUGUUCUGGGCAGCACGCGCGCUACAAUGGUCUUCGCAAACGGAUGCAUUCUCGAAGGAGAAUGCCAAUCUUGGAAUCUAUGCCUUGGUCGGGACAGUUGCUUGCAAUUUUUCGACUCGAACCAGGAAUUCCUUGUAAUCGUGAUCCAUCACAUCACGAUGAAUACGUCCCUGCCCUUUGUACACACCGCCCGUCGCUCCUACCGAUCGAAGAGUUAGGUGAAUUGUUUUGAUCGAUAAGAUUUGACUAUGGUCAACUCUAGUUGUGAAAUUCUGUGAAUCUGACUGUUUAGAGGAAGGAAAAGUCGUAACA
rnacentral:rRNA from 1 species